CUGAGGUGGGGGGCAAAGUCCCAACCUGGCCCGCCUCGCUAUCCGUGUGCCUACGUCGCCCACAGACGUGCAGUCGGAACUCUCCUCGGAGGAAUCGAGCCUGGGAAAUGCGAGCGUCGGAGGGCCUGGAGCGCGGCGGCAGCUGGCUGGUAUUCGGGCCCAUCCGAAUAAGCGAGUCCAAUGCCUCGGGCAGCGGGAGCUUGACAGGAGCUUGGAUGGCCAUCUUUCUCUUGAUGGUGAUAGGCUGGAUGCUGGGAUAAAAGCCUGCCCAGAUACCACCCCCACCCCUAAUCCUUGCCCUCUGGUUUCCUUGCCUGAGGCAGGGGUGGACUGGAAGAUAAUUUAGGGAGAGGCAAGUAGUCUGUUCUCUUGUUAGGGACCAAAGAGAUUGGGGGUGAAGAUGGGACUGAUGUGUGGCCCAACUCUUGUUGGUAAGGAGUGUGGCUGCUGAGCACUGGGCUGUGUUUCCCCAUCCCACCUUCUCUUUUCAUCUCUAAAACUCUUCCAGAGGGGUACUGGGUUGCUCAGUAUGCUAGGGGGAGGUGCAGAGAGUAUGGCCAAUAAAUAGCAGGGAAUUCUG